GCCAGGGUCGCAUAGUCUGGUAUUGCGCAGGCCUUGAGAGCCUGUCCCUUUGGGAGCGGGGGUUCGAAUCCCUCCCCUGGCG
rnacentral:tRNA from 1 species